rnacentral:rRNA from 1 species
UACGAGAGGUGCAAGCGUUAUUCGGAAUCAUUGGGCGUAAAGGGUGUGUAGACGGUGUGUUAAGUCUGUAGUUAAAUUCUCCGGCCUAACUGGAGAUCUGCGGCGGAAACUGGCGCACUAGAGGGUGGAAGAGAGAAGUGGAAUUCUCGGAGUAGCGGUAAAAUGCGUGGAUCUCGAGAGGAACACCAAUGGCGAAGGCAGCUUCUUGGUCCAUACCUGACGUUGAGGCACGAAAGCGUGGGGAGCAAACAGG